rnacentral:lncRNA from 1 species
UAGAGGCCAUACAAUAAAUGUUGCUUUGGGAAAUUCUGAGGCAAGAAAAAGCACUUCUGUCUGAAGGGAUCAGAAAAGGUUUCGCCUUCACUGGCAUUAGAGUUGAGGAGCGCAGGUUCCAAAUCUCUGUGGAAGGACUUAAGCCAGGUAAAAUGAAUGACAUCAUGCAAAGGCAAAGGAAAGAAUUUCUGCGUAUGUGUGUUUUUUUAAGAUCUGAAAGUCUACCAAAAAAUUUUAGCCUCAAAGUAACAAGACUCCCUGGGUAUUGACUGAAGGUCAGGAAAUCGGCAUGUGGCUUUGUGAAGUUUAAUUAACAGCAAGUUUUCCUAUCCAGCAUCACGAAGAGGCCCAGUCAGCUCUAGGGGCCCCCAGGAAAGAAACAACAUAUUGCUCCAAAGUUAUUACCGAUGAAAUGCAAGUAGCCUCCAACAAAGCAUGGGAAAGGAGGAGCUGAAAAAACAAAUGAUUCCUACCUGCAGCCAGGGACAGUUUCCAGGGGAGGUGGGAAUGUGUGGGUAAAACUUGUGAUCCAGGCCUGAUCCAGGCUGUCCUGUUUCAAAAUGAACGAACCUUUCAAACAAACACACAUACAUCCAUGUGUGCACAUGCAAACACACACACGUACUCCUGUACACACAUGAACAUGGACACACAGACAACAAAUUAUAGAAAGGGACACAAGUCUCUAAAUCCCAAAAAUUAUCUA